rnacentral:rRNA from 1 species
UACGUAGGUGACAAGCGUUGUCCGGAUUUACUGGGCGUAAAGAGCGCGCAGGCGGUCGUUCAAGUCGAGUGUGAAAGCCCCCGGCUCAACUGGGGAGGGUCACUCGAUACUGAUCGACUCGAAGGCAGGAGAGGGAAGUGGAAUUCCCGGUGUAGUGGUGAAAUGCGUAGAUAUCGGGAGGAACACCAGUGGCGAAGGCGGCUCACUGGCCCGAUACUGACGCUGAGGCACGAAAGCGUGGGGAGCAAACAGG